GUGGGGAAUAUUGGGCAAUGGGCGAAAGCCUGACCCAGCAACGCCGCGUGAAGGAAGAAGGUUUUCGGAUCGUAAACUUCUAUCCUUGGUGAAGAUAAUGACGGUAGCCAAGAAGGAAGCCCCGGCUAACUACGUGCCAGCAGCCGCGGUAAUACGUAGGGGGCAAGCGUUGUCCGGAAUGAUUGGGCGUAAAGGGCGCGUAGGCGGCCCGGUAAGUCUGAAGUGAAAGUCCUGCUUUUAAGGUGGGAAUUGCUUUGGAUACUGUCGGGCUUGAGUGCAGGGGAGGUAAGCGGAAUUCCCGGUGUAGCGGUGAAAUGCGUAGAGAUCGGGAGGAACACCAGUGGCGAAGGCGGCUUACUGGACUGUAACUGACGCUGAGGCGCGAAAGUGUGGGGAGCAAACAGGAUUAGAAACCCGGGUAGUCC
rnacentral:rRNA from 1 species